CCUACGGGCGGCAGCAGUGAGGAAUAUUGGUCAAUGGGCGAGAGCCUGAACCAGCCAAGUAGCGUGAAGGAUGACUGCCCUCCGGGUUGUAAACUUCUUUUAUAAAGGAAUAAAGUGCGGCACGUGUGCCUUUUUGUAUGUACUUUAUGAAUAAGGAUCGGCUAACUCCGUGCCAGCAGCCGCGGUAAUACGGCGGAUCCGGGCGUUAUCCGGAUUUAUUGGGUUUAAAGGGAGCGUAGAUGGGUUGUUAAGUCAGUUGUGAAAGUUUGCGGCUCAACCGUAAAAGUGCAAUUGAUACUGGAAGUCUUGAGUACAGUUGAGGUAGGCGGAAUUCGUGGUGUAGCGGUGAAAUGCUUAGAUAUCACGAAGAACUCCGAUUGCGAAGGCAGCUUACUAAACUGCAACUGACAUUGAUGCUCGAAAGUGUGGGUAUCAAACAGGAUUAGAUACCCCGGUAGUC
rnacentral:rRNA from 1 species